GACGAACGCUGGCGGCGUGCCUAACACAUGCAAGUCGAGCGAGGAGAGUUCCUUCGGGAACAAACCUAGCGGCGGACGGGUGAGUAACACGUGGGCAACCUGCCUUGUAGAGGGGAAUAGCCUUCCGAAAGGAAGAUUAAUACCGCAUAACAUUACAGUUUCGCAUGAAACAGUAAUUAAAGGAGCAAUCCGCUACAAGAUAGGCCCGCGGCGCAUUAGCUAGUUGGUGAGGUAACGGCUCACCAAGGCGACGAUGCGUAGCCGACCUGAGAGGGUGAUCGGCCACAUUGGGACUGAGACACGGCCCAGACUCCUACAGGAGGCAGCAGUGGGGAAUAUUGCACAAUGGGGGAAACCCUGAUGCAGCAACGCCGCGUGAGUGAUGAAGGUUUUCGGAUCGUAAAGCUCUGUCUUCGGGGACGAUAAUGACGGUACCCGAGGAGGAAGCCACGGCUAACUACGUG
rnacentral:rRNA from 1 species